UACAGAGGGUGCGAGCGUUAAUCGGAUUUACUGGGCGUAAAGGGCGCGUAGGCGGUGAGAUGAGUGUGAUGUGAAAGCCCCGGGCUUAACCUGGGAAGUGCAUUGCAAACGAUCUGACUGGAGUAGAUGAGAGGGUGGCGGAAUUUCCGGUGUAGCGGUGAAAUGCGCAGAUAUCAGGAGGAACACCGGUGGCGAAGGCGGAUCUCUGGGCCUUACCUGACGCUGAGGCGCGAAAGCUAGGGGAGCAAACAGG
rnacentral:rRNA from 1 species